rnacentral:rRNA from 1 species
CUACGGAGGGUGCAAGCGUUACUCGGAAUCACUGGGCGUAAAGCGCGCGCAGGCGGCUUGAUAAGUUGGAUGUGAAAGCCUACGGCUCAACCGUAGAACUGCAUCCAAAACUGUCAGGCUAGAGUGUGGGAGAGGAAGAUGGAAUUAGUUGUGUAGGGGUAAAAUCCGUAGAGACAACUAGGAAUACCAAAAGCGAAGGCAAUCUUCUGGAACACUACUGACGCUGAGGCGCGAAGGCGAGGGGAGCAAACAGGAUUAGAAACCCCUGUAGUCC